AUUGAACGCUGGCGGCAGGCCUAACACAUGCAAGUCGAGCGGAUGAGGGAAGCUUGCUUCCCGAUUUAGCGGCGGACGGGUGAGUAAUGCCUAGGAAUCUGCCUAUUAGUGGGGGAUGACGUUCCGAAAGGAACGCUAAUACCGCAUACGUCCUACGGGAGAAAGUGGGGGAUCUUCGGACCUCACGCUAAUAGAUGAGCCUAGGUCGGAUUAGCAAGUUGGUGGGGUAACGGCUCACCAAGGCGACGAUCCGUAGCUGGUCUGAGAGGAUGAUCAGCCACACUGGAACUGAGACACGGUCCAGACUCCUACGGGAGGCAGCAGUGGGGAAUAUUGGACAAUGGGCGAAAGCCUGAUCCAGCCAUGCCGCGUGUGUGAAGAAGGUCUUCGGAUUGUAAAGCACUUUAAGUUGGGAGGAAGGGUUGUAAGCUAAUAUCUUGCAGCUUUGACGUUACCAACAGAAUAAGCACCGGCUAACUCUGUGCCAGCCGCCGCCGUAAGAC
rnacentral:rRNA from 1 species